GGCCGGGUGGCGCAAUGGUAGCGCAUUCGUUUCCGGGUAGGUAUCACAGAUGCCUCCUAGUGAACAUGCGAAAGGUCGUGGGUUCGAGUCCCAUCUCGGUCG